CGUACAGAAAACUUUUGCAGCCGCAGAAUUAUUCUAUUUCUGCACAUGGAGCUUUGUGAGCGUAACAGUGAGAUGACUGCAAAGCCACCUUCGAGUCUGUGUGUGAGUCGUCCAGUGUCACCUUUCUCUCACCUGAGAACAGUAUGGCAAGGUACAUUAUCCUGCUGAAAGAGGCGACUGCCAUCGGAAAAUACCAUUCCCAUGAUGGGUUGUACUCCAUCUACAGCAAUGUUUAGGAUGAUGGACGGCCUUGUCACUCUAAUGGCAGCCUGUGGCCGAUUGCCCCCCUGGACCAGCGUCUCCGAUUCAUCAGGCAGGGUCACGUCAAGCAGAGAGUGUUCCGGAGAGUGGCACAGGGAUCAGAGUACCUCUGUACAUCUGCGUUGGCACGUACUGUCGUGUUAUAGUGAAGCGCAAGAUGGAUCCUUGGAGAUGCGACUCUGGAGAAGAGAAGCCAGUACUCAGGAGAUAAUGGGGAAAGACACGAGGAUGGGAGAAGCCUGCUCUGGUACAGAAGCCAGGAGUUGCCUCAGAUAAUUGCAGAGCAGCUCGGAGAUCUAUCCAAAGAGCCCUUAACUGUUUAAUGCAAAUGGAAAUCGAGCUUAAACAUGCGACACAAAAAUAUGUGUUCAGAGGCCCAUCAUAGGGAUCCAAUCAGCAAGGCAGGGUCAUUAACUGCCACACUGCCCCCACUGGGUUAUCUGGUGCCAUUACAUAUAAACAUUUUGGUACUGUCUACUAUAGUCUCUAAGGCAUGUUUAAAUGGGAGGUUCUUGAAUGAUCAAAUAUGCUUCUUUGAAGUGCUGUUUCUGACAAACACAAAUAUGCAUUGACCACCAGCAAACAUAAGAUAGCAACGUCUCACUCUACUGAUGCACAGUUCAAACGUUAAAAUGGCCCAAUGAUGGGUGAAAAAUUCCCAAACCCUUUCCCAAUAUCAAUCCCCCACACUGCUGUAAUCUCUGCUAAAUAUCAUAGUAGAGCAUUUGUCAAGUCUCCAAUUCCCAGUGCCCUGAAUAAUCUCUUUCGGCUGCUUCAAAGAGAGGAGAAUGUUGGCGUUUCAUACCAUAAACACUGAGUAGGAAUAAUGAGACAUGGUUUCCGAUGAAGAGAGCCAGAGUGACGGUCAUUAUACUCAAGAGCUUGUUAAGGGGUUUCAUUACUCUGAAGCUAAUUGAAAGAAUCUUGAUUCAUUUUUUCCCCCAGAUCACCAGGUAAAGAUUUCUAAAUGCAUUUUAAGGAAAAAAAAAAUAAAUAUGCUGUACUCUACUUUUUCACUGUUAGAAUCAUCCAUCCAUCUUCUAACCCUAACCCUGGUCAAAGGUCACUGGUGCUGUUAGCGUCAAUGUUAGUUCAAUCCAUCAAUACACGUGAAACCUUUUAAAAUUGUAACAGGACCUAGAUAAUUCGAUCAAUAAAUUAACGAUCAAACACUAUUAACAUGCUGUUCUACGGUGGCAAAGGCUAUGGUCUAAGUAAGUCAUGUCAUACUUGGAACUGUUAGUCAUGAGCAUCACCUGUGAUGUCACUGGAACAUCUUUCCAUGUAUGCCCGUAUUCAUCUAUCCAUCCCUCCAUCCAUCCAAAUUGCUCAUUCAUUACAGGGUCCCUGUGGGAACAUCUUGUGAUGUCAUCAUGCUGUUGCUGUCGAUGGUGGCUUGUGGUAUUAUGCAUGCAUGUAUUGUUUUGUUCGUGGGGACAGUGAGUAGAUACACAGUUCCAAGGUGAAGUGAUCACCUCGUACUUGCAUCACCUGCCCUAAGCCUGGAUUGAUAGCACUUUCUUCUAGGGCUUAGUUAGUGUAAAUCAUAGAACAGAAAUGAAGACCAAGCUUACUGCCACUAAGCUGAUCAUACUGUAUCGUACUGCUCUUGUGAGCCACUGAACACUUCAGUGGAGAAACAGCAUACAUUUCUUCAGUCUAACCCUCAUUAUGAGUGAAAUCAAUGACAAGUUGUUUAUUUACUUUGUCAGCAAGCUUUCAUAAAUAUAAACAUGAGUUUCUGUUGCCCUGGGGAACCAUUGGAUUUUUUAUGCUGAACACAGUAAAGUCUACUGAUGACUUGUACUGAUGUUGGAGCACUGAGCAGCUUAAAAGUAGAUUUAAGAAGGAAGAUUAGUGAGUCUGGAGAAAUUGCAGGUUUUUCUGGAGGCGGAUGAGCAACGGAGGUCAGAAGAAUUUGGGCUGCUCCAGUGCCCCCAUUUGAGAAAGACCUUGGUUGUAGAGUAUCAUCGAAGAUUAUAAACUAUGAUGCGUUGUUAGAUGGUGAAACUGAACCCAGACAAUGGCAAGAUUAAUUUCCUAGAUCCACCUGAACCUCUUGAAGAUUAUUUGGCAUAAGAAGAACAUAGAUGUUUUGUGUGGUAUCCAGGAGAACAAAACAGACAGAUCAUAUCUCUUUUGCAUGAUAUUUUCUGCUGCACAGCUGAAUUCUUGGUUGUGUGUGUGUGUGUUUUUGGCAGCUAUGGAAGGUCAACAGUUGCCUUGACUGCAUGUUGCUGUAUCUGUGGCAGUGAUUGAUGUGUUGGGAGGGUGUCCUGUCCACGCAGCAUCAGAGCCCCAGAGAGGCCAUUAAAAUGGGGCCUAUCUGGUGGCAGCGGCCCCAGAGCCGUCACCGGCCGCAUGUUCAAAGCACCUUAUCAGCUGAGGAAUUCCCAGCUUGGCGUUUUUCAGACGGCCUGGAUCAUGGACAGACGGAACAUCGCCGUUCCACCCCACUGCUCUCGAACGGGAUUCCCUCCAUGUCCGUCUCCGGCUCCUGUCAGAAGGGCUGCUCGCUUUCACUCUUAAUACAUUUUUUAUGAAAUUCACACCACAUACGUGUCCAAGAACAUGCCAGCCGUACAUGCACAGAGCGUGCACAGCAGUGCUUUGGCUCAACUAAGAGAGAAUCAAAACUAUUCCCACCGAACACGCCACGUACUUGCAUUAGUGCUGCCAAAGGGAAGAAUUAUUCCUCUCGGUUGGUCUUAGGCAUUCUGCUGAUUACUGUAAUAGUAUUUCCUGUUUCUGAGCAGAAUGGGCUGCAUAUUCAAUACAUCCAUAUUUACAGCCAUGCGUCAUGCAUUAUGAUUUAUGUGAAGCUUGUUGGAUGAAAAACCUAGUGCUUAUGAUACAGCAGAUCUCAGAUUUUUGCCCUGUUCAUUUGAAAUCGUAUUUAUAUUAUGGAUCACAUAAUAAGACAAUGGUGAAUGUUUAUCGUAAAUGAGCACUGGAUGUUUACACUAUAUUCCCUAUAUUUAUUCCCUCCAUUAUACUGCUGCUGUAUUACUUAUUGUUUACAUACACAUUGCACUAAGUAUAUAAACCCUUGUGUCCUGUCCCUGUUUUGCACUGUCCUGUGUUUGGUACACCAUGUCCUGGUAAAACCCUCCCCCUGUAACUCACUGUCUCUAUGUUGCCCUGUGGUCCUGGUUGUAUAUAAUUUCAUGUCCCUGUAUACCUGGAAGUGGAAGGUAUGGCCAUGAAACCAGCUUAACUUGACUCAACGUGAUAUUUUCUUGUUUCAUUUCUGCCAAACCUCAUAGGCCGACUUCUAUAGGCCGCCUUCUAUAGGCCGCCUUCGAUAGGCCGCCUUCGAUAGGCCGCCUUCGAUAGGCCGCCUUCGAUAGGCCUACAUCAUGGUGUUUGCGCGUGUCUGUUUAAAUAAAGACUUAGCGCGACGUUCCAUGCAGAUGAGCAUCGGCGAGAUCCAGCCAGCCGAGGCUGAAUGAUUUAUCCUCUUGUUAUUUGGCUUCUUUCAUUAUAGGAUCAUUUCCACCAGGACCGACUGGGACAGGAAGUCACUGCAGUGGAAGUCACCGCCAUGGCCUUUUAUCUGGAGCAUCUGUUUCCCUCUCGUGAGCUCGGUGACAGACCUCAGGGCAGAGACGCCAUUCCUUUGUUUUGUCCUCCACUGGAAAGAUGCUUGGUCCCCUCCAGCCUUUGACCCUCCUUAUCACCGGGCCUUGGGGACAGGGAAGCUUCUCAGGAUGGACGUGUUAGCUGUUACAUGCUUAACCUUGUGUGAACAGUUCAGCACUGCAAAAAAAAAAUGUGGCUGAAUCUGUUACUAAACUGGCAGCUGACACUGAGAUUGAAGCAUGUGUGUGUCAAUUUUAUAGAUAUUAAACAAACAUUAAUAAACAGCUUUUAUACUUUUUAUGUUGGAAUGCACAAAGCAAAGCAAUUUUAUCUUCAUAACUACCAUAAUAUGACCUAUAUGUAAAUUGCACUGUAAAAUGAUACUUUUAUAAAGGUUAUAUGAUUUUUU